rnacentral:rRNA from 1 species
GACGAACGCUGGCGGCGUGCUUAACACAUGCAAGUCGAACGGAAAGGCCCUGCUUUUGUGGGGUGCUCGAGUGGCGAACGGGUGAGUAACACGUGAGUAACCUGCCCUUGACUUUGGGAUAACUUCAGGAAACUGGGGCUAAUACCGGAUAGGAGCUCCUGCUGCAUGGUGGGGGUUGGAAAGUUUCGGCGGUUGGGGAUGGACUCGCGGCUUAUCAGCUUGUUGGUGGGGUAGUGGCUUACCAAGGCUUUGACGGGUAGCCGGCCUGAGAGGGUGACCGGCCACAUUGGGACUGAGAUACGGCCCAGACUCCUACGGGAGGCAGCAGUGGGGAAUAUUGCACAAUGGGCGGAAGCCUGAUGCAGCAACGCCGCGUGCGGGAUGACGGCCUUCGGGUUGUAAACCGCUUUCGCCUGUGACGAAGCGUGAGUGACGGUAAUGGGUAAAGAAGCACCGGCUAACUACGUGCCAGCAGCCGCGGUGAUACGUAGGGUGCGAGCGUUGUCCGGAUUUAUUGGGCGUAAAGGGCUCGUAGGUGGUUGAUCGCGUCGGAAGUGUAAUCUUGGGGCUUAACCCUGAGCGUGCUUUCGAUACGGGUUGACUUGAGGAAGGUAGGGGAGAAUGGAAUUCCUGGUGGAGCGGUGGAAUGCGCAGAUAUCAGGAGGAACACCAGUGGCGAAGGCGGUUCUCUGGGCCUUUCCUGACGCUGAGGAGCGAAAGCGUGGGGAGCGAACAGGCUUAGCUACCCUGGUAGUCCACGCUGUAAACGGUGGGUACUAGGUGUGAGGUCCAUUCCACGGGUUCCGUGCCGUAGCUAACGCUUUAAGUACCCCGCCUGGGGAGUACGGCCGCAAGGCUAAAACUCAAAGGAAUUGACGGGGCCCCGCACAAGCGGCGGAGCAUGCGGAUUAAUUCGAUGCAACGCGUAGAACCUUACCUGGGUUUGACAUGGAUCGGGAGUGCUCAGAGAUGGGUGUGCCUCUUUUGGGGUCGGUUCACAGGUGGUGCAUGGCUGUCGUCAGCUCGUGUCGUGAGAUGUUGGGUUAAGUCCCGCAACGAGCGCAACCCUUGUUCACUGUUGCCAGCACGUUAUGGUGGGGACUCAGUGGAGACCGCCGGGGUCAACUCGGAGGAAGGUGGGGAUGACGUCAAGUCAUCAUGCCCCUUAUGUCCAGGGCUUCACGCAUGCUACAAUGGCUGGUACAGAGAGUGGCGAGCCUGUGAGGGUGAGCGAAUCUCGGAAAGCCGGUCUCAGUUCGGAUUGGGGUCUGCAACUCGACCUCAUGAAGUCGGAGUCGCUAGUAAUCGCAGAUCAGCAACGCUGCGGUGAAUACGUUCCCGGGGCU